UACAGAGACUGCAAGCGUUAUUCGGAUUCACUGGGCGUAAAGGGUGCGUAGAUGGGCAGGUAAGUCCGUGGUGAAAUCCUAUAGCUUAACUAUAGAACUGCCAUGGAUACUAUUUGUCUUGAAUGUUGUGGAGGUAAGCGGAAUAUGUCAUGUAGCGGUGAAAUGCUUAGAUAUGACAUAGAACACCUAUUGCGAAGGCAGCUUACUACGCAAAUAUUGACACUGAGGCACGAAAGCGUGGGUAGCAAACAGG
rnacentral:rRNA from 1 species